rnacentral:rRNA from 1 species
UACGAAGGGGGCUAGCGUUGCUCGGAAUGACUGGGCGUAAAGGGCGCAUAGGCGGCCUGGCAAGUGGAAGGUGAAAUCCCUCGGCUUAACCGAGGAACUGCCCUCCAAACUGCUUGGCUUGAGACCGGGAGAGGUGAGUGGAAUUCCCAGUGUAGCGGUGAAAUGCGUAGAUAUUGGGAGGAACACCAGUGGCGAAGGCGGCUCACUGGACCGGUACUGACGCUGAGGCGCGAAAGCGUGGGGAGCAAACGGG